AAGGAGAUGAUUUUUCUUUAAGGUUUUUCAUACAAAAAUCAUGAUCUACGAAGAUCCAACCAUCUAAACUCAAAUUCGAUUUUGGAAACGUGAUCUACGAAGCCCGAUCUCCGUUUCUACCUAUUGGUUUGAGGAUUUGUUGUGUGGAGCUUGCUAAACACUCUCCAAGUGUUGGAUUUACAUUUGGUGGAAUUUUUGUGAUACAUUGCAAGGUGGCAUCUAGGAGACCUAAGCUUGAUAUCCGCGCAGCCAGAUGCUUUUAUUAGGGAUUCAACUAUUCAGAGUGAUGUCAGAAGAUUCUGCAUUGCGUACAAGUUAGAAGAUUUCGGUUCCCUGCCAGCCGUCUGGACGAUCGUGCCAUCCCGUUCGGACGACGUGCAAUACCGUCCGGACGCCCAACAGACCAAGCAUCAUCUGUCGGGACGACGUGCAUUCCGGUCCGGACCUUCACUGUUUCGAGAAGCUACUGUUCCAGCUUGCAUCCGACCGGACGUCUCAGCAGCCUAUUUGGACGCCUCUUAGUGAUCGAUCAGCUUCAAAUUCUUUCCAAGUUCAAUUUAAGGGAAGAUUGCUUCAACCGUCCAGACGACGUGGAUUUCUGUCCGGACGCGCUCAUACAUAAGGCAAGAAUCACAAUUCAGAUAUCACCGUCCGGACGACAGUCAGCCUUGGUCCAGACGCGCGUUCAUCAGUUAAGGAAAUUGCCGAUUCAACUUUAACCGUCUGGACGACUGCCUUUCAUGGUCCGAAUGCGCGCAUAGCAGAUAUGGAAAUUGCAUGUUGAAGAUUAGCCAUCCGGACGCUCAUCCCCCAUGGUCCGAACGCGUGAAAGCCUUAUAUGGAAAUUACUUGCAGCGGACGUGUGACCGUCCGAACGACGUUGUCUCACCGUAAGGAUGCGGCUCUUAAACAGGAAAGAUUUCUCAACGAAAUUUUUAGAAAAAUCUGUCGCACAGUUGUCCGUCCGAACGGCCCUUGUCCACUGUCCGGACGGCACCCGCAUAUAUCACUGCAGUCGUCCAUUCCGUACCUCGGCCUAUAAAUAGAGGCCCCUGGGCAUUGAGAACUGUAAGAAUUCGGUAUUGAAUUCUACAAGUGCUCAGAGAAGUUAUUUUGAGAGAUUGUUGAGCUGAUUAAGUUUGCUCUGAAGCCAUUGGAAGUGUGCUGUUGCUGCGCUACAGCUGAAGUCUAUCUUGGGGGUUGGCCUUAAGGUAAAGGAUUCCGUUGAAGACCCCUUCAGGUAGGAGACCUGGUUGGGAAGCGUUCGUGUUGGGUUACAUGUUAGAGAGCAAGGUACGACCACUACAUCGGGUAUAUGUGAGUGUUACUAUCUUGUAUCUAGCUUUGUCUUUUGAAUAGUGGAUAUCCUGGGUUUGGCUGCCCCGGAGUGGUUUUUCUCUUAAUCGAGUUUCCACUUCGUUAACAAAAAUCCUUGUGUCAUUUAUUUUCUGCAUAGUUAUUUUUGUUGACACU